rnacentral:rRNA from 1 species
AAUAUUGGACAAUGGUCGAAAGCCUGAUCCAGCCAUGCCGCGUGUGUGAAGUAGGUCUNCGGAUUNANAAGCACGUUAAGGUGGGNGGAAGGGCAGUAAGUAAAUACCUUGCUGUUUUGACGUUACCGACAGAAUAAGCACCGGCUAACUUCGUGCCAGCAGCCGCGGUAAUACGUAGGGUGCAAGCGUUAAUCGGAAUUACUGGGCGUAAAGCGCGCGUAGGUGGUUUGUUAAGUUGGAAGUGAAAGCCCCGGGCUCAACCUGGGAACUGCUUUCAAAACUGGCGGGCUAGAGUAUGGCAGAGGGUGAUGGAAUUUCCUGUGUAGCGGUGAAAUGCGUAGAUAUAGGAAGGAACACCAGUGGCGAAGGCGACCACCUGGGCUAAUACUGACACUGAGGUGCGAAAGCGUGGGGAGCAAAC